rnacentral:rRNA from 1 species
UACAUAGGGGGCAAGCGUUAUUCGGAAUUAUUGGGCGUAAAGGGCGCGUAGGCGGCCUGGCAAGUGGAAGGUGAAAUCCCUCGGCUUAACCGAGGAACUGCCCUCCAAACUGCUUGGCUUGAGUCCGGGAGAGGUGAGUGGAACUCCCAGUGUAGCGGUGAAAUGCGUAGAUAUUGGGAGGAACACCAGUGGCGAAGGCGGCUCACUGGACCGGAACUGACGCUGAGGCGCGAAAGCGUGGGGAGCAAACGGG